AAAAUAAAUGUAUAUUUGCAAUAUUUCUGUUCAUAUGAUUGAGAUAAUGUUUGCAUCUGUGCAGGGAGACAAAGGGUAGCAGAGCUUCUUAUUUCUAACCUCAAAGUCAUUCAUCCAGCAGCGAUGAAUUGAAGUUUUUGGUCAAAAUAUUUUAUUUAAGUCAUUUAAUUAUAGCCAGCAAUUACUGUCUUGAAUACUAGGUAAUUCUUCUAAAUCAGUAACAAUAAAUCUGAAUAAUGUAUACAAAAUUCUUUAACAAAAAUCGAUCAUUUAAUAAAGGGGAAGUUGGUGAAGACUUUAGAGCUUUGUAUGAUCAAUAAUGAUAUUAUACCGCUUCAUUUU